rnacentral:sRNA from 1 species
GUAAAAACCAACAUUCUGAAGGGGCUUGCCACUGGUGUUGGAUUCCUCUUCCAGCUUUGGGGAAUGGGUUUGAUGUUCUGGUGGGGAGGCUUUUGUAUGGACAGGUGGAAUU